ACUGCUCAGUAACACGUGAGUGACCUGCCCGGUAGUGGGGGAUAGCCCCUCGAAAGAGGGGGUAAUACCGCGUAAGCUCGCUGGUUUAGAUACUGGUGAGGGAAGCAGAGAUGCGCUACUGGAGGGGCUCGCGGCCCAUCAGGUAGUUGGUGGGGUGAUGGCCUACCAAGCCGAUGACGGGUAGCUGGUCUGAGAGGAUGAUCAGCCAGACUGGGACUGAGAGACGGCCCAGACUCCUACGGGGGGCAGCAGGGGGGAAUCUUGCACAAUGGGCGGAAGCCUGAUGCAGCGACGCCGCGUGAGGGAAGAAGGUCUUCGGAUUGUAAACCUCUUUUGACAGGGAAGAUAAUGACGGUACCUGUCGAAUAAGCCCCGGCUAACUACGUGCCAGCAGCCGCGGUAAUACGUAGGGGGCGAGCGUUGUCCGGAUUUACUGGGCGUAAAGAGCGCGUAGGCGGCUCGAUAAGUUGGCUGUGAAAGGUCCUGGCUCAACUGGGAUAAGUCAGCCGAGACUGUCGGGCUUGAGGGCGGUAGAGGAAGGUGGAAUUCCGGGUGUAGUGGUGAAAUGCGUAGAUAUCCGGAGGAACACCGGUGGCGAAGGCGGCCUUCUGGGCCGUACCUGACGCUGAGGCGCGAAAGCGUGGGGAGCGAACUGAAUUAGAUACUCAGGUAGUCCACGCCCUAAACGAUGGACGCUAGGUGUAGGGGGUAUCGACCCCUCCUGUGCCGAAGCUAACGCAUUAAGCGUCCCGCCUGGGGAGUACGGCCGCAAGGCUAAAACUCAAAGGAAUUGGCGGGGGAGCAC
rnacentral:rRNA from 1 species